rnacentral:misc_RNA from 1 species
GGAAGGAUCAUUAACACAAAAGUCCAUUUGAAGGUUAAAUGUAUAAUGUCGGUGACUUUGUUUCACACAAAGGAGCUUAGUUAUAUAUUUAAUCUUUCAAACCUCAAUGUAAACUAGGUUGAAGUCCAUAUUCUUAUUUAAUCAAACUUUUGAUUUGAAUGGAAUAGGAGUGAAACUUUUAAAUGUUGAAUCACGUAUCAAUGUUUAAGUAUGUAAUAUAUGGGUCUUAAUCAGAUUCAUAUACUAUCAUAUAAUAACAUUCGACUGAUGUUUUAACAAAAACACUAUAUAAAUAUAAACCAAGACAACUUGUAACAGUGGAUACCUUGGUUCCCAGGUCGAUGAAGAGCGCAGCGAACUGCGAUAAGUCAUGUGAAUUGCAGAAUUCCGUGAAUCAUCGAACUCUUGAACGCAAAUUGCACUUGGGUGUUGAACCCAAGUGUGCCUGCUCGAGUGUCGGCAAUAAAUCCUCAAUGCUAUAGCUAUUUCGAUAGUUUUUAGAAUUGAAAGUGAAAGUUCAUUAUGGUUAUUUAAUGAUCUUUUUAAAUGGAUGGAUGGCUGAUAUCAUAUUUGAGAUGCUUUUUAUAAAGUAUUGAUCAAAUUACAAUAUUAGUUGGAAUAAAUUAAGAUCUUAGGAUCAUCUAAUCUAUUCUAUCUAGUAAUUUAAUCAUAUUUUAUGGAAUGGUAUUCUUAAGAUUUCGGAUUAUAUCCUAGUCUAAUAUAUAACCUUUUACGGGGUUAUAUAAAAGACAAAUAUAUUUAAAUCUCGACCUCGAAUUAGGCAAGAUCACCCGGUGGACUUAAGCAUAUUAUUAACCGGAGGAAAAGAAACUAACAAGGAUGCCCUUAGUAACGGCGAGUGAAGCGGGCAAAGCUCAAAUUUAAAAUCUGGGGUUCUUAUGAAUCUCCGAAUUGUAGUUUUUGGAUUGUUAAUCACGGGGUUAUAUAUAUGGGAGUAAGUUCUUUGGAACAAGGCGUCAGAGAGGGUGAGAACCCCGUAUGCGUCCCUAUAUAUGAUUCAACAGGUGAUUAGCUUUUCACGAGUCGGGUUGUUUGGGAUUGCAGCCCUAAAUAGGUGGUAGAUCUCAUCUAAAGCUAAAUAUUCCUGGGAGACCGAUAGCGAAGAAGUAGUGUGAACGAAAGGUGAAAAGAACUUUGAAAAGAAGGUGAAAAGUACUUGAAGCUGUUCCAAGGGAACCGUAGAUGAGCAGUGACUGUUUGUUGACAAUUCAAUGUAUUGUGUAAGCACAUGUUGGAUACCUGGAGAUGUAUGUCCCAGAGUACUGAGUGUAGUUUAUUUGAUGCAUGUACUUUGUUAAUUGAACGAGUCAACAUCAGUUUGAUUGUGUCGGAGAAAGGUAAGGAGAAGGUAGGUUAUUCCUUCGGGAUUGACUGUUAUAGCUCUUUAUUGCAUACGAUGCGUUGGACUGAGGAAGCAAAACGUACGCCUCGGCGAGGUAGUUGACUGACCUAUGUGUAUGACUUUAAUAUGUCUGCUUGCAGGAUGUUAAUUCGAUACAUGUAGCAUAUGUUGACCCAUCUGUACGUUAGGGAUGUUGACGAAAUGCUCUUCUAUGACCCGUCUUGAAACACGGACCAAGGAGUCUAACAUGUAUGCGAGUAUUUGGGUGGUAAACCCGAGUGCGCAACGAAAGUGAGAGAUGCGAAUUCGUAAUUGAAUGCAGCAUCGGCCAACUGUUCUUAGGGACGGAUUGCGCCGGAGCACACAUGAUGGGACCCGAAAGAUGGUGAACUUUGCGUGCGCAGGGUGAAGCCAGAGGAAACUCUGGUGGAGGCUCGUAGAGAUACUGACGUGCAAAUCGUUCUUCUGACGUGCGUAAAGGGGCGAAAGACUAAUCGAACCAUCUAGUAGCUGGUUUACAC